AAGUGUUUGAUUUUAUUACUCAGUGAGAUGAAUAGUGGAGGCAUGGCAUCAUUUGUAGAUAAGCUUGAUGGUAACAAUUAUAGUUACUGGAAGUUAUGUAUGGAAGCUUAUCUACAAGGGCAAGUUUUGUGGGAUCUUAUCUUUGGUGAUGAAUAGGUAAUUCCAGAAGAUACACCACAUAAUGUUGAGUUGCGGAGGAAGUGGAAGAUAAAAUGCGGCAAAUCUUUGUUUGCUUUGCGGACAUCUAUCAGCAAGGAG
rnacentral:lncRNA from 1 species